GUGAUCCAAGAGAGGAAGUGACUGUUCGUCUUAAAGAUCCUGACUCAGAUAAACAUUAAUCCUGCUUAAUUAUAUCAUUUAGGAUCUUAUAUAGAGUGUGAUAACAAGUCAAAAGCAGGAUUAGUGGUGGUAAAACCUCCAUCUAAAGCUAAAUUAUGCCCAUUCAUGUACUUGGAUUCAUCACUGAUGGCUAGAUAAAUUGCAGCUUCAGCCACAUCUUCAUGUUUAA